rnacentral:rRNA from 1 species
AUUGAACGCUGGCGGCAUGCCUUACACAUGCAAGUCGAACGGCAGCGCGGGGCAACCUGGCGGCGAGUGGCGAACGGGUGAGUAAUAUGUCGGAACAUACCCUAGAGUGGGGAUAACGUAGCGAAAGUUACGCUAAUACCGCAUACGCACUAAGGUGGAAAGUGGGGGAUCUUCGGACCUCAUGCUCAUGGAGUGGCCGAUAUCUGAUUAGCUAGUUGGUGAGGUAAAGGCUCACCAAGGCGACGAUCAGUAGCUGGUUUGAGAGAACGACCAGCCACACUGGAACUGAGACACGGUCCAGACUCUUACGGGAGGCAGCAGUGGGGAAUUUUGGACAACGGGGGGCAACCCUGAUCCAGCAAUGCCGCGUGAGUGAAGAAGGCCUCGG